rnacentral:rRNA from 1 species
UACAGAGGGGGCAAGCGUUGUUCGGAAUUACUGGGCGUAAAGGGCGCGUAGGCGGCCUGUUAAGUCGAACGUGAAAUCCCCGGGCUCAACCCGGGAACUGCGUCCGAUACUGGCAGGCUUGAAUCCGGGAGAGGGAUGCGGAAUUCCAGGUGUAGCGGUGAAAUGCGUAGAUAUCAGGAAGAACACCCGUGGCUAAGGCGGCUCUCUAGUACGGUACUGACGCUGAGACGCGAAAGCGUGGGGAGCGAACAGG